rnacentral:misc_RNA from 1 species
UUGAUUAUUAUAAAGUUCUCAGACGACAAAUAUUAAGAGUAUGCUGCCCGAAGGCAAGGCAACCGGUCAACAUCAAGAAAGGGAGAUUGGCGUGAGCCAACUCGGUAAUGAUCCCUCCGCAGGUUCACCUACGGAGA